AUCCGUGGGAGAGAGGGGAGGUCGUGUGAGGAGAGUGUGAACACUAAGGGAAGGUCACUGAAAGGAAGAGUGAGUAAGAAAUUUGGCGUGUGUGGGGGAUCCGAGAUGAUGAAGGGAAUGGUGUGCGGGAGCAGGAGUGCAGAGGAAGUCGCGAGCGGAAGGAGCAGGAAGAAUAACUUCGAUGAGUGUCCAGUGAGAGGGGUGAGUGUGGUGAGUGUGACAGUAAGAGUCCGGACUGUGCGAGGGAGGGGACCAUGGAAUAGGAAUCGAUAUGUAUGAGGAGUUUCGGGUGAGGGAAGAGGCGUAUGAAACAGUAGGGAGAGGUAGGUUUAGAAGGGGAUGAGAAUGUAGUUGCUGGAGAUGGGGAUGGCACAUGAGGGGAUUGUAGAGUAUGGUUUAGGGUGGGAGAGUAGGGGCGAGUUGGUAGUGGUGUAGCAGGAGUGUGGUGAGGGGAGAUAGGUCGGUAUAGUUGCUAUAAAUUUAAAGGUUGGCGAGGAAACAUCACCAGUGUAUGCGUGAAGUUUUGGUGUGUGUGGCCUAAUAAGGUCGAGAGGUAG
rnacentral:lncRNA from 1 species